UUUAACACAGUAGACAGCCGAACAACCUGAGUAAGAGUAAUCGCGUUAAUGACCAGGGGAUAUGAAAGCUGAAAUCGAAAUUCUGGAAUUGUGGUUAAUCACCCACAGGAUCCAGCAAGCAAGAACGCUUUUCUAGCUUGCCAAGAAGAAAGGAGCAAGUGCAGAGAUGAAUUGUUGAUAGCAGCGAGAAUGCAAAUGGGGAAGGGAACGUGAAUUGUGAAAGUAGAGUAAAAAAAAAAGGAAAGCAAAGCAAAGUCCAGGCGAAAAGAUCUGGAAUAUGAUGAUCGGGAAGAAGGCAACGGUUCUUCAAGAGAAGAGACGAAAAGAAAAGGAAAAGAAAAUGCAAUUCAGUAACUCUUUAUUGACUGAGCAAAAUUAGUAAUAUGAAUUGAAUUUGGAUGAAUCGUAAAAUGGAGAAAGGAUCCAACCUUCUAAUAUAUUGCACGUUGUCGCUACGUGGCCAAGUUGCUGUAAUUAGCAGUUUUGAUUAUGAGGUGUAUGGAGGUGCAACACAAAUAAGUAGUGCGGAAGUGUAGCUAGCUACGAAUUCGUUAGUAGGGGAAGGCGUGAGGUUUGAGGUAGAACAAAGAAACUUGAAAAUCGGCCACAAUGAGAUAACUUUCGGUAAGGGCAAGUAGGGGAAGGAGGGGGGGGUAAAGUGAAAAGGAAAAUCAGAACAACAAGAAAACAAAGAAAUGGUAAAGGAUGAAGAUGCAAAAGAGCAAAGAAAGGUUAGAUAAGGGGAUGUU